rnacentral:rRNA from 1 species
UGGGGAAUUUUGGACAAUGGGCGCAAGCCUGAUCCAGCCAUGCCGCGUGCAGGAUGAAGGCCUUCGGGUUGUAAACUGCUUUUGUACGGAACGAAAAGACUCCUUCUAAUAAAGGGGGUCCAUGACGGUACCGUAAGAAUAAGCACCGGCAAACUACGUGCCAGCAGCCGCGGUAAUACGUAGGGUGCAAGCGUUAAUCGGAAUUACUGGGCGUAAAGCGUGCGCAGGCGGUUAUGCAAGACAGAGGUGAAAUCCCCGGGCUCAACCUGGGACCUGCAUUUGUGACUGUAUAGCUAGAGUACGGUAGAGGGGGAUGGAAUUCCGCGUGUAGCAGUGAAAUGCGUAGAUAUGCGGAGGAACACCGAUGGCGAAGGCAAUCCCCUGGACCUGUACUGACGCUCAUGCACGAAAGCGUGGGGAGCAAACA